GUAUCUCAAUUGUUUGUAAAACAAUUGAAAGGUCUUUCCUGCAAAAGUGAUGUUUUUGUAAUGUACUCUUUAAGACCUUUCAUUUGAUAUACGACAAGCAUACCUUCUGAAACUUUUCGCUUUUUACACUUAAUGACCCCAUCCACCUAAUUUUCGAGAUCGGAAGUAUGAUAUAUGUAAUGUAGACUUGAUGAUCUUUCAUUUGAUAUGCAACAACACCAUCUUCUAGAAAGUUUGAUUUUUGCACUUAAUAACCCCAUCCAACUAGUUUUUGGAGAACAGGAGUUUGAUAUUUGAAAUGUACACGUUAUGACCUUUCAUUUGAUAUACAACAACCUUAUCUUAAAAGAAAAUUUAUGUUUUGCACUCAAUGACCCCACCCAACCCAUUUUUUGGGGACGUCAGUUUGAUAUUUGAGAUGUACGCUUUAUGGACUUUCAUUUGAUAUGCGACAACCUAACCAUCUGAGAAGUUUGAAAUUUUUGCACUUAAUGACCCAACCCUUCCCACUGGGAUGAAAAAGGAGUUUGAAAUUUUCAUUUUUGAGUUGAGCUCAUUUAGACGUUCAAUUUGAUAUACAUAAUGACCGCAUUUGGCAAAGAGCCAAAAAUGAUGCAAUAUCAAUUAUAUAAAUAAAACUUAUGAAACUUACAAAGUCAAUGUAAAAGAUGAAAAUUUCAAAUUGAUUUUUUUCUUUAGUUUUUCAUUGAAAGUUUUUGGUAAUUAGUCAAACAUAUUCCCAUCUUACACUCUUCAAUUUCUGAAAAUUUCAGGCGCAAAGCUGUUGUUGAUUCAGAAAUACAUGCCUCCGCUCGCAAAAUUUUAAACUGCAUUAUCUCUUAAACGACAACAGAUAUCUCAAAUCUGUUAAAUGAUAAAUGAUAUGCAGUUGAAGUACAACAUUGUAGAAAAAAAUUUGGGACAAUUCCAAUGUUCAUCAAGGUCACAAUGAAUCAUCAAAUAUAUGAUGCAAUACCAAACUUGAGAACCAGAAGUCGUAGAGACAUGGGACUACCACCAUUCAACUCAGGACCACUUGACCUUUCAAAUGUCACAAGGUCAAGGUCAUAGUACACAUUGAAGGUCAAGGUUAAAUUUCAUCAUGACCUGGCAUUGACCUCAAAUUGAAGGUCUUGAAUUACUGAUCAUAUUUGCAGUUUAUAGUAGGUUGUUAUAUGUUACCAUUUAAAAUAUAUUCACACAAUACUAUACUUUUAAGAAUUAUCUUGAUGUAACUUUUGAACAGACGGUCGGACAUGUUUGAGCUUAAUGUAUAAAAUGUAGAGCUUGUCGAGAGGAACAUUUUAUACACAGUAUGUAUGCAGCAAACUCCUAUCGUUUUCAUAAUAUGCAAGCUUGAAAUUGCAGCGUAAUUUUUUUUCGCACUCGGUGACCUUUGACCUUGGGUGCAAAUUAAAGGUCACAUGAACUUAAGAUUAUUGGUGUAGGUCCCAAGUCUCUACGACUUCCGGUUCUCGAAAUACAAUUUUUAAAAAAUUGUGUAUAUUUUUUCAAGAGAAAUAACUCCUUAUAAGGGUCAAUAACAAAAUUAUUUUAUAUGUUCAUUUAUAUUGCCAUCUGUUCCUGUACAUGUUGCUGUUUUCAAAUCGAUUCUAUCCCUAAUACUUUUUGAGAAAAAUGCAAGGGAAAGAAAUUGCUUCAAGGGGAUAUAACUCGCAUAGGGGAUAAUGAAAUCCUAUGCAGCCUCAUAUGGUAGUACAUCAUGAUGACAUCUACCUAUUGUCUAAAUAAGGUCAUGAUAUCUUUAAAAACAACGAGGGGGGGCCAUGUCGAAAAAAUCCAAUCAAAGGGAGAUAACUUCUACAGGGGAUGAUGAAAUCCUUAACAGGGUCAUGUGGUCAUACUUCAAGAUGAGGUCUAUCGAUGGUCAAUAUUUGGUCUUGAUAACUUCAACAGAAACAGGGGGAGGGCAUUCCCAAAAAAAUGUUGGAAGAAAAAAAAGAAAAAAAAAAAAAAAAAAAAAAAAGAAAAAGAAAAAAAAAAAAAAAAAGAAAAAAAAAAAACAUUAGAAAAACAAUAAGGUCUUUCCUAACGGAGUGGAAAGACCUUAACUAGUAUCUCAAUUGUUUGUAAAACAAUUGAAAGGUCUUUCCUGCAAAAGUGAUGUUUUUGUAAUGUACUCUUUAAGAGCUUUCAUUUGAUAUACGACAAGCAUACUUUCUGAAAAUUUUCACUUUUUACACUUAAUGACCCCAUCCGCCUACAUUUUUGAUAUCGGAAGUAUGAUAUAUGUAAUCUAGACUUGAUUAUCUUUCAUUUGAUAUGCGACAACGCCAUGUUCUAGAAAGUUUGAUUUUUGCACUUAAUAACCCCAUCCAACUAAUGUUUUGAGGACGGGAAUCUGAUAUUUGAAAUGUACACGGUAAGACCUUUCAUUUGAUAUACAACAACCUUAUCUUAAAAGAAAAUUUAUUUUUUUUGCACUCAAUGACCCCAACCAACCCAUUUUUUGGGGACGUCAAUUUGAUAUUUGAAAUGUACGCUUUAUGGACUUUCAUUUGAUAUGCGACAACCUAACCAUCUGAGAAGUUUUAAUUUUUUGCACUAAAUGACCCCACCCUUCCCCCUGGGAUGAAAAGGGGGUUUUACAUUUUCAUUUUUGAGUAGAGCUCGUUAAGACCUUCAAUUUGAUAUAUCAAAUGACCCCAUUUGGCAAAGUGCCAUAAAUGAUGCAAUAUCAAUUAUAUAAAUAGAACUUAUGAAACUUACAAAGUCAAUGCAAAACAUGAAAAUUUCAAAUUGAUUUUUUGGUUUUUUUUUUCAUUGAAUGUUUUUGGUAUUUGGUCAAACAUAUAACCAUGUUAAACUCUUCAAUUUCUUAUAAUUUCAGGUGGUUACCUGUUGUUGAUUCAGAAAUACAUGCCUCCGCUCGCAAAAUUUUAAAGUGCAUUAUCUCUUAAACGACAACAGGUAUCUCAAAUUUGUUAAAAGAAAAAUGAUCUACAGUAAAAGGACAACAUUUUAGAAAAAAAAUUGGACAUUUCCAAAGUUCAUCAAGGUCACAAUGAAUUAUCAAAUAUAUGAUGCAAUAUCAAACUUGAGAACCGUAAGUCGUAGAGACAUGGGACUACCACCAUUCAACUCAAGACCACUUGACCUUUCAAAUGUCACAAGGUCAAGGUCAUAGUACACUCUGAAGGUCAAGGUUAAAUUUCAUCAUGACCUGACAUUGACCUCAAAUUGAAGGCCUUGAAUUACUGAUCAUCUUUGCAGUUUAUAGUAGGUUGAUAUCUGUUACCUUUUAAAAGAUAUACAUAUGUUACUAUAGUUUUAAGAAUUAUGUUAAUGUAACUUUUGAACAGACAGUCGGACAUUUUUGACCUUAAUGUAUAAAAUGUAGAGCUCGUCGAGAGGAACAUUUUAUACACAGUAUGUAUGCAGCAAACUCUUAUGGUUUUCUUAAUAUGCAAGCUUGAAAUUGCAGCGUAAAGUUUUUUUGCACUCUGUGACCUUUGACCUUGGGUGCAAAUUGAAGGUCACAUGAACUUAAGAUUAUUGGUGUAGGUCCCAAGUCUCUACGACUUACGGUUCUCGAAAUACAAUUUUUCAAAAAUUGUGUAUAUUUUUUUAAGAGAAAUAACUCCUUAUAAGGGUCAAUAACAAAAUUAUUUUAUAUGUUCAUUAACAUUGCCAUCAGUUCCUGUAUAUGUUGCGGUUUUCAAAUCGAUUCUAUCUCUAAUACUUUUUGAGAAAAAUGCAAAGGAAAGAAAUCGCUUCAAGGGGAUAUAACUCGCAUAGGGGAUGAUGAAAUCCUAUGCAGCCUCAUAUGGUAGUACAUCAUGAUGAGAUCAACCUAUUGUCAAAAUAAGGUCAUGAUAUCUUUAAAAACAACGAAGGGGGGCCAUGUUGAAAAAAUCCAAUAAAAGGGGGAUAACUUCUACAGGGGAUGAUGAAAUCCUUAACAGGGUCAUGUGGUAAUACUUCAUGAUGAUGUCUAUCGAUGGUCCAUAUUUGGUCUUGAUAACUUUAACAGAAACGGGGGGAGGGCAUUCCCAAAAAAAUGUUGGAAGAAAAAAAAGAAAAAAAAAAAAAAAAAAAAAAAGAAAAAGAAAAAAAAAAAAAAAAAGAAAAAAAAAAAACAUUAGAAAAACAAUAAGGUCUUUCCUAACGGAGUGGAAAGACCUUAAAAAAAAAAGAAAAAGAAAAAAAAAAAAAAAAAGAAAAAAAAAAAACAUUAGAAAAACAAUAAGGUCUUUCCUAACGGAGUGGAAAGACCUUAAAAAAAGAAAAAGAAAAAAAAAAAAAAAAGAAAAAAAAAAAACAUUAGAAAAACAAUAAGGUCUUUCCUAACGGAGUGGAAAGACCUUAAAAAGAAAAAACUAGUAUCUCAAUUGUUUGUAAAACAAUUGAAAGGUCUUUCCUGCAAAAGUGAUGUUUUUGUAAUGUACUCUUUAAGAGCUUUCAUUUGAUAUACGACAAGCAUACUUUCUGAAAAUUUUCACUUUUUACACUUAAUGACCCCAUCCGCCUACAUUUUUGAUAUCGGAAGUAUGAUAUAUGUAAUCUAGACUUGAUUAUUUUUCAUUUGAUAUGCGACAACGCCAUGUUCUAGAAAGUUUGAUUUUUGCACUUAAUAACCCCAUCCAACUAAUGUUUUGAGGACGGGAAUCUGAUAUUUGAAAUGUACACGGUAAGACCUUUCAUUUGAUAUACAACAACCUUAUCUUAAAAGAAAAUUUAUUUUUUUUGCACUCAAUGACCCCAACCAACCCAUUUUUUGGGGACGUCAAUUUGAUAUUUGAAAUGUACGCUUUAUGGACUUUCAUUUGAUAUGCGACAACCUAACCAUCUGAGAAGUUUUAAUUUUUUGCACUAAAUGACCCCACCCUUCCCCCUGGGAUGAAAAGGGGGUUUUACAUUUUCAUUUUUGAGUAGAGCUCGUUAAGACCUUCAAUUUGAUAUAUCAAAUGACCCCAUUUGGCAAAGUGCCAUAAAUGAUGCAAUAUCAAUUAUAUAAAUAGAACUUAUGAAACUUACAAAGUCAAUGCAAAACAUGAAAAUUUCAAAUUGAUUUUUUGGUUUUUUUUUUCAUUGAAUGUUUUUGGUAUUUGGUCAAACAUAUAACCAUGUUAAACUCUUCAAUUUCUUAUAAUUUCAGGUGGUUACCUGUUGUUGAUUCAGAAAUACAUGCCUCCGCUCGCAAAAUUUCAAAGUGCAUUAUCUCUAAAACGACAACAGGUAUCUCAAAUUUGUUAAAAGAAAAAUGAUCUACAGUAAAAGGACAAUAUUUUAGAAAAAAAAUUGGACAUUUCCAAAGUUCAUCAAGGUCACAAUGAAUUAUCAAAUAUAUGAUGCAAUAUCAAACUUGAGAACCGUAAGUCGUAGAGACAUGGGACUACCACCAUUCAACUCAAGACCACUUGACCUUUCAAAUGUCACAAGGUCAAGGUCAUAGUACACUCUGAAGGUCAAGGUUAAAUUUCAUCAUGACCUGACAUUGACCUCAAAUUGAAGGCCUUGAAUUACUGAUCAUCUUUGCAGUUUAUAGUAGGUUGAUAUCUGUUACCUUUUAAAAGAUAUACAUAUGUUACUAUAGUUUUAAGAAUUAUGUUAAUGUAACUUUUGAACAGACAGUCGGACAUUUUUGACCUUAAUGUAUAAAAUGUAGAGCUCGUCGAGAGGAACAUUUUAUACACAGUAUGUAUGCAGCAAACUCUUAUGGUUUUCUUAAUAUGCAAGCUUGAAAUUGCAGCGUAAAGUUUUUUUGCACUCUGUGACCUUUGACCUUGGGUGCAAAUUGAAGGUCACAUGAACUUAAGAUUAUUGGUGUAGGUCCCAAGUCUCUACGACUUAGGGUUCUCGAAAUACAAUUUUUCAAAAAUUGUGUAUAUUUUUUUAAGAGAAAUAACUCCUUAUAAGGGUCAAUAACAAAAUUAUUUUAUAUGUUCAUUAACAUUGCCAUCAGUUCCUGUAUAUGUUGCCGUUUUCAAAUCGAUUCUAUCUCUAAUACUUUUUGAGAAAAAUGCAAAGGAAAGAAAUCGCUUCAAGGGGAUAUAACUCGCAUAGGGGAUGAUGAAAUCCUAUGCAGUCACAUAUGGUAGUACAUCAUGAUGAGAUCAACCUAUUGUCAAAAUAAGGUCAUGAUAUCUUUAAAAACAACGAAGGGGGGCCAUGUUGAAAAAAUCCAAUAAAAGGGGGAUAACUUCUACAGGGGAUGAUGAAAUCCUUAACAGGGUCAUGUGGUAAUACUUCAUGAUGAUGUCUAUCGAUGGUCCAUAUUUGGUCUUGAUAACUUUAACAGAAACUGGGGGAGGGCAUUCCCAAAAAAAUGUUGGAAGAAAAAAAAGAAAAAAAAAAAAAAAAAAAAAAAGAACUAGUAUCUCAAUUGUUUGUAAAACAAUUGAAAGGUCUUUCCUGUUAAAGUGAUGUUUUCGUAAUGUAUUUUGUACGACCUUUCAUUUGAUAUACGACAAGCAUACCUUCUGAAACUUUUCGCUUUUUACACUAAAUGACCCCAUCCGCCUUAAUUUUCGAGAUCGGAAGUAUGAUAUAUGUAAUGUAGACUUGAUGAUCUUUCAUUUGAUAUGCGACAACGCCAUGUUCUAGAAAGUUUGAUUUUUGCACUUAAUAACCCCAUCAAACUCAUUUUUUGAGGACAGGAAUCUGAUAUUUGAAAUGUACACGUUACGACCUUUCAUUUGAAAUACAACAACCUUACCUUAAAAGAAAAUUUUAUUUUUUGCACUCAAUGACCCCACCCAACCCAUUUUUUGGGGACGUCAAUUUGAUAUUUGAAAUGUACGCUUUAUGGACUUUCAUUUGAUAUGCGACAAC